GACGAACGCUGGCGGCGUGCUUAACACAUGCAAGUCGAACGGAAAGGCCCUGCUUUUGUGGGGUGCUCGAGUGGCGAACGGGUGAGUAACACGUGAGUAACCUGCCCUUGACUUUGGGAUAACUUCAGGAAACUGGGGCUAAUACCGGAUAGGAGCUCCUGCUGCAUGGUGGGGGUUGGAAAGUUUCGGCGGUUGGGGAUGGACUCGCGGCUUAUCAGCUUGUUGGUGGGGUAGUGGCUUACCAAGGGUUUGACGGGUAGCCGGCCUGGGAGGGUGACCGGCCACAUUGGGACUGAGGUACGGCCCAGACUCCUACGGGAGGCAGCAGUGGGGAAUAUUGCACAAUGGGCGGAAGCCUGAUGCAGCAACGCCGCGUGCGGGAUGACGGCCUUCGGGUUGUAAACCGCUUUCGCCUGUGACGAAGCGUGAGUGACGGUAAUGGGUAAAGAAGCACCGGCUAACUACGUG
rnacentral:rRNA from 1 species